UUAGGAUAAGCCCGCGGCCUAUCAGCUAGUUGGUGAGGUAACGGCUCACCAAGGCUAAGACGGGUAGCUGGUCUGAGAGGACGACCAGCCACACUGGAACUGAGACACGGUCCAGACACCUACGGGUGGCAGCAGUCGAGAAUUUUUCUCAAUGGGCGCAAGCCUGAAGGAGCGACGCCGCGUGGGGGAUGAAGGGUUUCGAUCCGUAAACCCCUGUCAUUUGUGAACAAUGGUUAUUAUUUAAAAGAUGAUGACUUGAUAGUAAUGAAAGAGGAAGGGACGGCUAACUCUGUGCCAGCAGCCGCGGUAAUACAGAGGUCCCGAGCGUUGUUCGGAUUCACUGGGCGUAAAGGGUGCGUAGGUGGCUUGAAAAGUUUGAUGUGAAAGCUCAGGGCUUAACCCUGAAAUGGCAUUGAAUACUGUCGAGCUGGAGGUUUGGAGGGGGGACUGGAAUUCUUGGUGUAGCAGUGAAAUGCGUAGAUAUCAAGAGGAACACCAGUGGCGAAGGCGAGUCCCUGGACAACACCUGACACUGAGGCACGAAAGCUAGGGGAGCAAACAGGAUUAGAUACCCUGAUAGUCCUAGCCCCUAAACG
rnacentral:rRNA from 1 species